UUACCGCGCCAUAACCGAGUCAUCUGCCCCAAUGAGCACAUCUACGGGCCGGAGAACCAGCGCAGAAAAGGAGUAAGUUUAAUUGGUCGCCAGAUGAAACGGUCUUCUUACAUCAAAUUCAAGAAAAAAUACGUAUAAUCAGAGGGUGUUAUGGGAAGAGUAUCACCCCUGAGGAUAAGAAGAGAGCGUGGACUGAAGUGGCAGAAGCUGUAACAAGUGCCUUCCCUGGGAGUGGACCCCGUACGCAGGAUGACUGUGAGAGGCGUUGGUACAACGUACAACAAAAAUCAAAGCCUCGCAUUGCCAAGUGCAAGAAUGAGCAGCGGCAGACUGAUACACACUUUAUCAGUAUUGCUAGAGACCAUCCCAGCACAUUGUUCAUUACUUGUGGAAAAGAUACCAUUAGCUGCUCCGGCAACAGCCACUGCUUCAAUAUCUGCUGGCCCUAUGACACCAGCCACUCCUUCAUCAUCUGCUGGCCCUAUGACACCUGCCACUGUUUCAUCAUCUGCUGGCCCUAUGACACCUGCCACUGCUUCAUCAUCUGCUGGCCCUAUGACACCAGCCACUGCUUCAUCAUCUGCUGGCCCAAUGACACCUGCCACUGCUUCAUCAUCUGCUGGCCCUAU